CGUGUUAUUAUAAUGGUGCUUCCUUUGAGAGACCUUCUAGGCAAGGCUGUCAACAAUUGACUUCUCAGCUACCAGUGCAGCAUCCAGCUCAACCUCCAUCUUUGGGACAUUGGACAAGAAAAGUACAAAGCAGUGAUCAGCUUGCCAAUUGUUGACUCAAGCAAAGAACUGGGAUCAGCUAUUGUCUGCUGUUGCCUGCCUGCAGCUGAGGUGAAGACUUAUGCUUUUCACCAAAGACUGCUAUUUUAAGGGUUGUCAAAAGCACUGGGGAAGCGACAAAGGGUAACCUCACACUUCAGCUGUGGUGCCAGCACAGGAUGUCUGCUGGAUGCAGUGCUCCUUGGCAUCUGUGUGUGCAGGUGCCUUGGCAAAUAACAUCAUUUUGCCAGAG